GACGAACGCUGGCGGCAUGCUUAACACAUGCAAGUCGAACGGAAAGGCCCUGCUUUUGUGGGGUGCUCGAGAGGGGAACGGGUGAGUAACACGGGAGUAACCUGCCCUUGACUUUGGGAGAACUUCAGGAAACUGGGGCUAAUACCGGAUAGGAGCUCCUGCUGCAUGGUGGGGGUUGGAAAGUUUCGGCGGUUGGGGAUGGACUCGCGGUAUAUCAGCUUGGUGGUGGGGUAGUGGCUUACCAAGGCUGUGACGGGUAUCCGGCCUGAGAGGGUGACCGGCCACAUUGGGACUGAGAUACGGCCCAGACUCCUACGGGAGGCAGCAGUGGGGAAUAUUGCACAAUGGGCGGAAGCCUGAUGCAGCAACGUCGCGUGCGGGAUGACGGCCUUCGGGUUGUAAACCGCUUUCGCCUGUGACGAAGCGUGAGUGACGGUAAUGGGUAAAGAAGCACCGGCUAACUACGUGCCAGCCGCCGCCGUAAAAC
rnacentral:rRNA from 1 species